GGGCAAGUCUGGUGCCAGCAGCCGCGGUAGUUCCAGCUCCAAUAGCGUAUAUUAAAGUUGUUGUGGUUAAAAAGCUCGUAGUUGAACCUUGGGCCUGGCUGAUCUGUCCUCCUAAUCGAGCGCACGGAUUCGGUCGGGUCUUUCCUUCUGGGGAGCCCUAUGCCCUUCACUGGGUGUAGUGGGGAACCAGGACUUUUACCUUGAAAAAAUUAGAGUGUUCAAAGCAGGCCUUUGCUCGAAUACAUUAGCAUGGAAUAAUAGAAUAGGACAUCGGUUCUAUUUUGUUGGUUUCUAGGACCGCUGUAAUGAUUAAUAGGGAUAGUCGGGGGCGUCAGUAUUCAAUUGUCAGAGGUGAAAUUCUUGGAUUUAUAGAAGACUAACUACUGCGAAAGCAUUCGCCAAGGAUGUUUUCAUUAAUCAGUGAACGAAAGUUAGGGGAUCGAAGACGAUCAGAUACCGUCGUAGUCUUAACCAUAAACUAUGCCGACUAGGGAUCGGACGAUGUUAUUUUUUGACUCGUUCGGCACCUUACGGGAAAC
rnacentral:rRNA from 1 species